AUACUCUGGUCUUUCUAUAGAUAGAAUAAAUCUUUCACUUUUACUAAAAUUUCCAUUGAGAAGGAAGGUCUGAGGUUUUUGGUCAAUUUUUUGAGGCCUUGCUUUGGCAAGGCU